UCUCGAGAAAGAAAUCUCGGCGCCGCGCUCCUCGGCUCCUCGAGCUUCUUCGCUCGGCACCAGCGGGGACACUGCUCUUCUUGUAACGGAGUUGACUAAAGGCAGUGUUGUCUUGGCCACCAGCACCAUUACUGUGACUGAAUGAACGACAGUCAGUACAAGUAUAAGCGAUAGAAUCACUGUCAUACUGUUUAAUAUUGGCUACAAGAGGCUCAGGAAUACCGAGACACAUGGAGGUGGAACAAAACCAAUUGUUACAAUUCCUAUCACAGCCAAUACAAGAAUCAUCAAGUGAACUCUGACAGGUAGAACAGCACAUAACAUCACCUGGGGUACUGCUAGGGAGUGCAGUGGUUUGGGGCUUAGUUGAUGAGGUAGAACUGCUAUCACAUAAUUGGUUAUUAACACCAACCGCGUCACAAGAAGCACCACCCUGACCUACAGCACCAGUAGGUGGGUUUACAACAGUGGAAGGCGGUGGCUGAGAACCACCACCAUGACCUCUGCCACGUCCACGAGCCAUGAGGAAGCUAAGGGGCGCACCAGGGAAGAUGGAGCACAACAAGACACGUCCGCCUCCACCGACUGCUGGAACUGGUGUGUAUGGGAGAACGCCGAUCCAAAGGUUACACCGACAGCAAGUGCUGGGUGACUCCCAACUCAAGCUCAA
rnacentral:misc_RNA from 1 species